rnacentral:rRNA from 1 species
AACGAACGCUGGCGGCAUGCCUAACACAUGCAAGUCGAACAAAGGCUUCGGCCUUAGUGGCGCACGGGUGCGUAACGCGUGGGAAUCUGCCCCUCGGUUCGGAAUAACAGUUAGAAAUGACUGCUAAUACCGGAUGAUGACUUCGGUCCAAAGAUUUAUCGCCGCGGGAUGAGCCUGCGUAAGAUAAGGUAGUUGGUGGGGUAAAGGCAUACCAAGCCGACGAUCUUUAGCUGGUCUGAGAGGAUGAUCAGCCACACUGGGACUGAGACACGGCCCAGACUCCUACGGGAGGCAGCAGUGGGGAAUAUUGGACAAUGGGUGAAAGCCUGAUCCAGCAAUGCCGCGUGAGUGAUGAAGGCCUUAGGGUUGUAAAGCUCUUUUACCAGGGAUGAUAAUGACAGUACCUGGAGAAUAAGCUCCGGCUAACUCCGUGCCAGCCGCCGCCGUAA